rnacentral:rRNA from 1 species
ACACUAUCAUUAACUGAAUCCAUAGGUUAAUGAGGCGAACCGGGGGAACUGAAACAUCUAAGUACCCCGAGGAAAAGAAAUCAACCGAGAUUCCCCCAGUAGCGGCGAGCGAACGGGGAGCAGCCCAGAGCCUGAAUCAGUGUGUGUGUUAGUGGAAGCGUCUGGAAAGGCGCGCGAUACAGGGUGACAGCCCCGUACACAAAAAUGCACAUGCUGUGAGCUCGAUGAGUAGGGCGGGACACGUGGUAUCCUGUCUGAAUAUGGGGGGACCAUCCUCCAAGGCUAAAUACUCCUGACUGACCGAUAGUGAACCAGUACCGUGAGGGAAAGGCGAAAAGAACCCCGGCGAGGGGAGUGAAAAAGAACCUGAAACCGUGUACGUACAAGCAGUGGGAGCACAGAGCAAUCUGUGUGACUGCGUACCUUUUGUAUAAUGGGUCAGCGACUUAUAUUCUGUAGCAAGGUUAACCGAAUAGGGGAGCCGAAGGGAAACCGAGUCUUAACUGGGCGUUAAGUUGCAGGGUAUAGACCCGAAACCCGGUGAUCUAGCCAUGGGCAGGUUGAAGGUUGGGUAACACUAACUGGAGGACCGAACCGACUAAUGUUGAAAAAUUAGCGGAUGACUUGUGGCUGGGGGUGAAAGGCCAAUCAAACCGGGAGAUAGCUGGUUCUCCCCGAAAGCUAUUUAGGUAGCGCCUCGUGAAUUCAUCUCCGGGGGUAGAGCACUGUUUCGGCAAGGGGGUCAUCCCGACUUACCAACCCGAUGCAAACUGCGAAUACCGGAGAAUGUUAUCACGGGAGACACACGGCGGGUGCUAACGUCCGUCGUGAAGAGGGAAACAACCCAGACCGCCAGCUAAGGUCCCAAAGUCAUGGUUAAGUGGGAAACGAUGUGGGAAGGCCCAGACAGCCAGGAUGUUGGCUUAGAAGCAGCCAUCAUUUAAAGAAAGCGUAAUAGCUCACUGGUCGAGUCGGCCUGCGCGGAAGAUGUAACGGGGCUAAACCAUGCACCGAAGCUGCGGCAGCGACGCUUAUGCGUUGUUGGGUAGGGGAGCGUUCUGUAAGCCUGCGAAGGUGUGCUGUGAGGCAUGCUGGAGGUAUCAGAAGUGCGAAUGCUGACAUAAGUAACGAUAAAGCGGGUGAAAAGCCCGCUCGCCGGAAGACCAAGGGUUCCUGUCCAACGUUAAUCGGGGCAGGGUGAGUCGACCCCUAAGGCGAGGCCGAAAGGCGUAGUCGAUGGGAAACAGGUUAAUAUUCCUGUACUUGGUGUUACUGCGAAGGGGGGACGGAGAAGGCUAUGUUGGCCGGGCGACGGUUGUCCCGGUUUAAGCGUGUAGGCUGGUUUUCCAGGCAAAUCCGGAAAAUCAAGGCUGAGGCGUGAUGACGAGGCACUACGGUGCUGAAGCAACAAAUGCCCUGCUUCCAGGAAAAGCCUCUAAGCAUCAGGUAACAUCAAAUCGUACCCCAAACCGACACAGGUGGUCAGGUAGAGAAUACCAAGGCGCUUGAGAGAACUCGGGUGAAGGAACUAGGCAAAAUGGUGCCGUAACUUCGGGAGAAGGCACGCUGAUAUGUAGGUGAAGUCCCUCGCGGAUGGAGCUGAAAUCAGUCGAAGAUACCAGCUGGCUGCAACUGUUUAUUAAAAACACAGCACUGUGCAAACACGAAAGUGGACGUAUACGGUGUGACGCCUGCCCGGUGCCGGAAGGUUAAUUGAUGGGGUCAGCGCAAGCGAAGCUCUUGAUCGAAGCCCCGGUAAACGGCGGCCGUAACUAUAACGGUCCUAAGGUAGCGAAAUUCCUUGUCGGGUAAGUUCCGACCUGCACGAAUGGCGUAAUGAUGGCCAGGCUGUCUCCACCCGAGACUCAGUGAAAUUGAACUCGCUGUGAAGAUGCAGUGUACCCGCGGCAAGACGGAAAGACCCCGUGAACCUUUACUAUAGCUUGACACUGAACAUUGAGCCUUGAUGUGUAGGAUAGGUGGGAGGCUUUGAAGUGUGGACGCCAGUCUGCAUGGAGCCGACCUUGAAAUACCACCCUUUAAUGUUUGAUGUUCUAACGUGGACCCGUAAUCCGGGUUGCGGACAGUGUCUGGUGGGUAGUUUGACUGGGGCGGUCUCCUCCUAAAGAGUAACGGAGGAGCACGAAGGUUGGCUAAUCCUGGUCGGACAUCAGGAGGUUAGUGCAAUGGCAUAAGCCAGCUUGACUGCGAGCGUGACGGCGCGAGCAGGUGCGAAAGCAGGUCAUAGUGAUCCGGUGGUUCUGAAUGGAAGGGCCAUCGCUCAACGGAUAAAAGGUACUCCGGGGAUAACAGGCUGAUACCGCCCAAGAGUUCAUAUCGACGGCGGUGUUUGGCACCUCGAUGUCGGCUCAUCACAUCCUGGGGCUGAAGUAGGUCCCAAGGGUAUGGCUGUUCGCCAUUUAAAGUGGUACGCGAGCUGGGUUUAGAACGUCGUGAGACAGUUCGGUCCCUAUCUGCCGUGGGCGCUGGAGAAUUGAGGGGGGCUGCUCCUAGUACGAGAGGACCGGAGUGGACGCAUCACUGGUGUUCGGGUUGUCAUGCCAAUGGCACUGCCCGGUAGCUAAAUGCGGAAGAGAUAAGUGCUGAAAGCAUCUAAGCACGAAACUUGCCCCGAGAUGAGUUCUCCCUGACUCCUUGAGAGUCCUGAAGGAACGUUGAAGACGACGACGUUGAUAGGCCGGGUGUGUAAGCGCAGCGAUGCGUUGAGCUAACCGGUACUAAUGAACCGUGAGGCUUAACCUU